rnacentral:rRNA from 1 species
GGGUGAGUAACACGUGGAUAACCUACCUAUAAGACUGGGAUAACUUCGGGAAACCGGAGCUAAUACCGGAUAAUAUUUUGAACCGCAUGGUUCAAAAGUGAAAGACGGUCUUGCUGUCACUUAUAGAUGGAUCCGCGCUGCAUUAGCUAGUUGGUAAGGUAACGGCUUGCCAAGGCAACGAUGCAUAGCCGACCUGAGAGGGUGAUCGGCCACACUGGAACUGAGACACGGUCCAG